rnacentral:rRNA from 1 species
UACGUAGGGUGCAGGCGUUAAUCGGAAUUACUGGGCGUAAAGCGUGCGCAGGCGGCUUUGCAAGACAGAUGUGAAAUCCCCGGGCUUAACCUGGGAACUGCAUUUGUGACUGCAUGGCUAGAGUGCGGCAGAGGGGGAUGGAGUUCCGCGUGUAGCAGUGAAAUGCGUAGAUAUGCGGAGGAACACCGAUGGCGAAGGCAAUCCCCUGGGCCUGCACUGACGCUCAUGCACGAAAGCGUGGGGAGCAAACAGG